CUCUGUUGAUAUCGCUUUAACGUUUUUACCUAACUUGCUCGUACUAAAAUCGACCAUGGACUCUAACGAGGUAGCACAAUACUUUUCCUCCCCUUCAAUGCCUUUGUUCUCGCAUUCACUUAGUGUUUGUUUCAUGUCUUGGGCUUCCACGGAGUCGGAUUUUAUCGAGAACUCAUUGUAGAUUUGAGGAAGUUUGUUUGAUGAAAAUGGUAUAGACUCAGCUACCUGUCGAGGUAAGAAUGUGGCUUUUUGGUCGUCUUUAAUGAAAUGUGUCUUCAUUUCUGUGCCUCGAUGCAAGUCGUUUUCCAAGAAAAAAAACGCUAUGUUUGGGUUAUCCUUAAGUUGAUCUUCGGAGGCAGCAUAAUUGUAGUUGAAUGGACUGUGUCCGUAUCCGUAUCCAACACUAACAUCCGUCUGUUUCCCUGGUUUUCCUGUAUGCACAGCUACACCGUCCUCUCCAACUCCGACUGCUGUGUUCUUAUCUUCCGACCAUUCUGUAAAUCAAUAAAUUAUUUCUACCAAAUCUGUAGAGAUUACAGCAAAGGAGACUCAAUAAAGAAAUCAGAAAUAAAGAUGAACCUGUAGUUUGUACAAGUUCCUUGAUUGCUUUGGGCAUAGGACUGUUUGGCAAUACAGACUUCCAGUAAACAUCAGGAUUCACUGCAUGACUUGCAACCAGCGCUAGCUGUUGGAAACCACAAUUAAACACAAAUGAAUUCAGCUCCAAAAUAUCAUACACGAACACAUUUAAUACUUCAAACCUGACGAGAAUUUCUUGGACCAAUUGGUGGUGUAAAAGACAUGAUUAAAGAUUCUGAAUUUUUAAAAUAAUAAAAAAGUUAAUGAUGAUUAUGAGAAUGUACUUACAGAAAAAAGUGUAUAAACCUUGAGUAGACUGAACUUCAUUGGAGAAAAACGAAACUGAAAUUAAACUGAAUGUGGAAGUUAGCGUUUGAUGAUGUAUGGAGAAUGGGUUUGGUGGAGUAUUUAUAGAGGAGUUAAUUAAUACAAAAUGCCACACUCACCAAGAAAGACGCCCAGUUAUAAUUAUGCCCAACUACCGACUGUAAAGAUCAAGUAUGCCAAGCAUAUGUGUGCAACGGGCGGCAAUCAUAUUUAUGCUUGAAUGCAAUAUGACAGUUAUGGUGGUUAUAAUACCAGUUAAUUAGUUGUUUAUGAGUAUCAUCAACCAACCGUUAAUAUGAAUGGGUGCUUUGAAGGGUUGUGAUGGUUCAAAAGGCACCAUGUCCUAUACUAUAUAUAUGUUACGUGUUAUGCUAUAUAUUGUUGGUAUAUAUUCUUCAUAAAAAAACAUGUUACAUUCACAAAGAGCUCCAUGUAUUAUGGUGUCCACGUGAGGUUUGAGGACCAAAGGCCUUGAUAGCGUGGCUUAGUGGCUGAUGGAGUUUUCGGCAAAUGGUUGGCAUCUCUGGUGAAGAAUAGGGAGGACGCAAUGAUAGGGAUUAUAUAUAAUGCUGCAUAUUCACGGACGUACACAAAGGAGGAGGAAGAAUGAACAAGACAAAAGUUUCUGAAUAUACCCAUGUUGACAUUAAAUGCUACUGCCACAACUAGUGUGAGAGAGUAGAACAGAAAAGGAGAUGAUAUGUGCGUUGGAUUAAUAUAUGUAUUUAUUUAUAUAUUGUAGUGGUCUUAUUCAUUGUUAGGUGUAUUGCCCUACUUUCCUAUUAUUCCAUGUAUCAUUAUAUAUGGUGACUAUCUACUAAUAUGGAAAAAUAUUUUAUUAACAUUGUAUCAGGCCUCUAAUAUCCUUGCCGAUCCUAUUCCUUUUUUUUUUCUCUACUUUCCUCUCUUUUUGGCGAAUGCCACCUCCUGCUCGCCCGUUUUACCUUAAUAAUACUCAGGACCAAUGGCCCAAAAAAUUCCUUCAAGAAACAGAAAGACAGCCACUCCAACAGCCCCAAUGUCCAGUUUAUGCUUCUCACGCCCAGCAGCACCAAACUUUUUUUGUUGGACAGCCCAACACAUGGACAGUAUUUUAAUUUUCCAGCUACAACAAAUCUUCCUCAAACUUUUAGCACCAUGACUGUUAAUGACGAUUGGUAUAUGGAGAAGAGUCAGCGCCGUUCCUUUAAUUUUAAAGGCCACGGGNNNNNNNNNNNNNNNNNNNNNNNNNNNNNNNNNNNNNNNNNNNNNNNNNNNNNNNNNNNNNNNNNNNNNNNNNNNNNNNNNNNNNNNNNNNNNNNNNNNNNNNNNNNNNNNNNNNNNNNNNNNNNNNNNNNNNNNNNNNNNNNNNNNNNNNNNNNNNNNNNNNNNNNNNNNNNNNNNNNNNNNNNNNNNNNNNNNNNNNNNNNNNNNNNNNNNNNNNNNNNNNNNNNNNNNNNNNNNNNNNNNNNNNNNNNNNNNNNNNNNNNNNNNNNNNNNNNNNNNNNNNNNNNNNNNNNNNNNNNNNNNNNNNNNNNNNNNNNNNNNNNNNNNNNNNNNNNNNNNNNNNNNNNNNNNNNNNNNNNNNNNNNNNNNNNNNNNNNNNNNNNNNNNNNNNNNNNNNNNNGUGAUAAAUUGUAUUAGGAAAAACAAUAAAUUAUUAAAUUGAUUAAAUGAAACCAAAUGUGAAUUUUCAAAGUUAUAGAGGUAAAACUUGUAAGUUAUGAAAAUUGAUUUACGAAAUGAAAAUAAUUAUUAAAUUUGAAGGGCCAAAGAUUUAACUUUCAUUGAAUUAUUUAAAAGAAAUAUGUAAAAUUGAGAUCUAUAGGGAUCGAACCAACGCCAAAGAGGAAAAAACCGCCAUUGACAAGCGCUUUGAACGGCUGAGCUAAGAGAAGUCUCGAUUUUUUAUUUAACAAAAUAAUAUAGAAAUAUAUCAACUAGAUAAUUUUUGCUAAAAAUCAAACCCUAUUUUUUUCAAGGCCCUGUGCGGCUGCACUUUUUGCACACCCUUAGGGCCGGCCUUGUGGACAGUGACAGAUCCUGAGCAAACAUUAACCGGGGUCAAUAAUGAUAAAAGGGGUCCAUAAUCAUAAAAAUAUAGAAAAUAAGAAAAAUAAGAAAUAAAAAUUGAAAUUUUAGGUCUUCUUAAAAAGUUUUUUUUUUGAGAAAAACAAUGGAAUUCAAUAUUUUUAAGUGGGGGUACCAAGUAUGUAAUUCUAUAAAAAAAUAUAUUUUUCUAUUAAAAAUUAGGAUGGAACCCACCAUCAAGUGGUGCGAUGCACCUCAUUUGUUAUAUGCUGCCUCCGCCACUGUAUAUGGAUACCAGAGUCACUACACAUCUUCAUACCGAGUCCGGUAUUCUUACCAUACUUUAUCUUUAAACAAUGUUCUUCUUACACCUUAGAUUAUCAAAAAUAUUAUAUUUGUGCGACAAUUUACUCAUGAUAAUAAGUGCACCAUUGAAUUUGACGAAUUCGAUUUAUCUGUAAAGGAUUACCGGAUCCGUCAAAUCCUUCUCCAAUGUGACAUCACGGGCGAUCUAUAUCCCGUGACAACCCCGUCUCUUCAAGUUUUAUUCUUUGUUAGUUCCUCCACUUGGCAUCAAUGACUUGGUUACCCCGACUCCCAAGUUUUCAACCAUUUAGUUUCCAGAAAUCUUAUGUCAUGUAAUAAAAAAGAUUCUUCAUUACCGUGUCAUGCGUGUCAACUUGGCAAACUUGUUCACUUGACUUUUGAUUUAUCUCAAAAUGUUGCUAGUUAUCCUUUUCAUGUUAUUCAUUUGGAUGUUUGGAUCUCUUCGUUACAAAGUCAUAGCGCUAUUAGAUAUUAUGUCAUAUUUCUUGAUCAAUUAUCUCAGUUUGUUUGGGUAUAUCCAUUGCGACAAAAAUCUGAGGUAUUCUCUAAAUUCUUACAUUUUCGUUCCUAUGUAAAACCCAAUUCAAACCUUUCAAUGUGACAAUGUAACACCCAUCUUAUUCUCACCUUAAUGUUUUCGGUUGCCUUUGCUACCCUCACCUUCCCACCACUCAAAAACUCCAACCUCGAUCAACUCCUUGCAUGUUCCUUGGGUACCCUUUGAAUUAUAAAGUGUACUGAUACCUUAACCUUCAUACCAAACAUAUCAUCAUCUCUAAACAUGUUAUCUUUAACGAGUUCAUAUUCCCCUUUGGCUCCAUGACUCCCAAACUUGCUCUGAAUUAUUACUCCCUUCAAGUUGAUGACAGCUAUAACAUCUCAAUGGCCUAAAUCGCCCACCUUAACCUCUUGCGGUUGCAACUCCAUCCAUUGAACCCGAUUCCAAAAACAACAUUCCAUCUCACGAUCUCAUCCCCUCUACAUCAUCACUACCUCCUUUUACCUUACCUAACCCCGUAACAAUCGAACCACCACCCUCGGCUCAACCAUAUACCACUAUAUCUCAUACAAACCCUCACCCUAUGGACACUCGUGCUAGAUGCGACAUCUUCAAACCACUACAAAAACUCAAUCUUCACACUGAAUCCACAUCCUCUUCUCUUCCUCAAACCUACUCCCAAGCCUUCCUAGAUCCUAACUGGUUAAAUGCAAUGACUAAAGAAUAUAAUGAAAGUAUUUCUAACGAAACUUGGUUGAUUGUGCCUCGGCCCCUAAUUUUAAUGUCGUUAAUUGUAUUUGGUUGUUUAAAAAGAAAUAUCAUGCAGAUAGGUCCUUAACCCAAUAUAAGGCACACCUUGUAGCGAACAUCAUAGUCAACGACCUGGUAUUGAUUGUGACAAGGCUUUCAGACUGUUUGUCAAACCAUCUACCAUUCAGAACUUUCUCAGCUUAGCUACAUCUCAUCAUUGGCCCGUCCAUCAGUUGGAUGUGAGGAGUGCUUUUCUUCAUGGCCACCUCCAGGAGACUAUCUACAUGCAUCAGACUCCUAGUCUUCGAGACCCUACUUUCCUGAAUCAUGUAUGUCUUCUUCAACGGUCCCUUUAUGGCCUCAAGUAGGCUCCUAGGUCAUGGUACCACAAGUUUACUCAGUUCAUGACUACUUACAACUUCAUAAACAUGAAAUCAGAUUCCUUUCACUUUAUAUUUAAAUAGGGUACCCAUAUUUCUUACUUGUUACUACAUGUUGACGAUAUUGUGUUCACUGCAUCAUCCACAAGCCUACCUCAACAAGUUAUUUCUACUCUUCGUUCAGAGUUUUCCAUGUAUGAUCUUGGUUCUCUGAACUAUUUUCUAGGUAUUGCAGUCACCUGAAACAAUCAUGGCAUGUUUUUAUCUUAGCAAAAAUAUGCCACCAAGAUUCUUAAACUGGCUAAGAUGCUUAACUGUAAGCCUGUUUGGACAUCGGCUGACACUUCAGCCAAGUUUAAUGGCACCAGAUCUCCUAUUUUUUUAUUAGAAUUUGUAUCGGAGUCUUGUUGGUGCUCUUUAGUAUGUCACUUUCACCAUAACCGACGUUAUGUUUGUUGUGCAACAGGUGUGUUUAUUCAUGUAUGAUCCUCGAGAGCCGUACUUCACUACUCUUAAGUACAUUUUGAGAUAUAUUCGUGGUACUCUUGACAAUGGUUUAUGGUUCCACGUUUCUCCUUCUCGUGGCCUGGUUUCUUAUUCUAGUGUAGACUAAGCGACCUGACCUACCACUAGACGAUCCACUUCUGGUUAUUGUGUCCUUCUGGGUCAAAAUCUUAUUUCAUGAUCGUCUAAUCGUCAAGGUACAAUCUCCCGGUCCAGUGUUGAAGUCAAGUAUCGGGGAGUCUCAAAUGUCGUCACUAAGAUAUGUUAGCUUUGUAACUUACUUUGUAAGCUAUGUUAUCCAUCGUUGUCUUCCAUUCUAGUCUACUAUGAUAAUGUUAGUGCGCUUUACUUAUCCUCCAAUCUGGUUUAACAUCAACACACUAAUCAUAUUGAGAUCGACAUUCACUUUCUUCGAGACAAGGUAGCUAUGGGUUAGAUGCAUGUGCUUCAUCCUCCAUCCUCCUCUUAGGAUGUCGUUAUCUUAACCAAAGGGCUUUCAACAUCUUUAUUUCUUGACUUUAGAUCUAGUCUGAACAUCCGUGUGCGAUAUCCCAUUCUGAAUGCGAGGGACUAUUAGACAUAUAUUAUGUAUAUAUGUAUUUAUUUAUAUUAUAUUGGUCUUAUUUCAUUGUAUAUCCCAUAAGGCUCGCAUUGCCCUACUUUCCUAUUAUUCCAUGUAUCAUAUGCAUUUAUAUGGUGAAUAUCUACUCACAGGUGUUAUGGGAAAUUAUUUUAUUAACAUAAUCAGCCAUGUUACCAUCUUAUUUGUUAUAGGAAAAUAUUAUUAUUGUACUUAAUCACAUGCAUGAUUUAACUUAAUAACAAAAUCAUUAAAUUUCAUUACAUUAGAUGUAAUUUUAAGUUCAUGAAUUGUAGUUUGCAUGUUUUGAACUUGGUUUGGUCGUUGUUAUUGGAUUUAAAUAACGUGAAGGGGUGGUAAGGAGGCGGGUACCAACAAAAACAAUAAACAAUAAAUUAAAAGAAAUAAAAACUACAAAACACAAAAUAAUAAUAGGUUAUUACAAUCUUUUUACAUAUGCAUGAGACAAAAAUCACAACAUAAAACAUAUAAGAGGAAUAGUCUAGCUGAAAAACAAAAGAUAAGUUGAAGCAUGCAGAUUUGGCCAAACCAAAUGGAUGCUUUUUCUAAUUUACUAAGCUAAUUAAAUUAUUUUGAUUCAAUAUUUGUCUUCUCAUACAACUAGAUGUUAAUGAACCUGUUGAGUCAACUGACAUAAUUCCAACUCCUACUCUUCGUAGAUCUGAUAGGGUUCGUUUACCUCAUGAGUUUUAUCGUUUCCAUAUUGAAAUAAAAGGAGGAUUACUAAUUAGUAAUCGUACAUUGGUUAGUAUGGAUGAGUCAUCUAACUACAUAGAAGCAAUGGUAGACACCGAAGUUGCUAAAUGGAAGGAGAGUAUGGAAAGUGAAAUUUAAUACAUGUAUGAUAACCAAUCCUAUGCCACACAUAAAAACCAUUAGGUGUCAAUGGAUCUUUAAAAAAAAGACCGACAUGGAUAUGAAUGUGCACACAUUCAAAGAUAGGUUGGUAGAAAAGGGUUAUACUCAAAUUCAAGGAAUUGAUUAUGAGGAAACCUUCUUGUCAUUAGCCAACAUUAGGUCUAUUAGAAUAUUACUUGCCAUAGCUACUUUCUAUGAUUAUAAAAUAUGGAAAAUGGAUGUGAAAAUUGUUUUCCCUAACAUAAAAAUUACUAUAGGAUGUCUAAAUGACACAACCUGAAGUCUUUAUUGGUCCAAAAUAUCAUAGUGUGCGAGCUUGAGAGGUCCAUAAUAUACUCACACAAGGAUCACAAAGCCGAAAUAUUUUUUCAUAUAAACGUCAAGGAAUUUGGAUUUUUUAGAAGUGAGGAUGAGUCUUGCAUAUAUGUCAAAGUCAGUAGGUGUAAUGUGGUCCUCUUAGUAUGGUAUUUUGAUGAGAUAAUCCUUAUAGGAAAUGAUAUCCCAACCUUACAAAGUGUAAAUACAUGGCUUGGGAAACUACCAAAGUAAAUACAUAGAUGAUGUUUUGAAAAGAUUCAAAAUGCAAGAUUCUAAAAAAGGGUAUCUACCCAUGAACAUGACAUAAGAUUGAGUAAGGAUCAAUCGCCCAAUAUUGGGGGUAUUGGGCUGCAUGACAUGCGAGGGAGGAAUUAGGGGUAGUAGGUUGCAUGGGAUAUUUGGAGGGAAUGGACCAAAGGUAUUGUAAUGUUCAGAAUGCAGGUAUUUACCCUUUCUACCCUUGGAAUAAAAUUUCUUUUGCAUGGAGGGUCCCUAAGUACGCUAGGUGUACAUAUGCAUACGUUUAGCGUACUAAGGAGGAAUGGACGCGGGCAUGCACCACAUACGUGGGGCAUACCAAACAGUACGCGGGGCAUGUGUGGCUUAAGACUAAAACCCUAAUUUUAGGGCAAGGACCCUAUUUAAACACUCUUAUGCUAUUUGGACCUUACCCUAAACAGCCUCAAUUGUCUCUUAUUGUCCCAAAACCCUAGUUUUGCAAAAGAAUGUGAUCAUUGAGCUUAAAAGUGUUUUUGGUGGCCAUAUUAGUGGGUUUGUAAGAAGGAGAAGGUGGUGGUCAACUCUUGAACGUGGGUGAGCUUAUAGAUCCCGCUUCUACUUCAUUUUGGGGUGCUCUUGGAGGUAAAAAGUCCAGCCUUGCUUAUUCCUUUUGCUAGAAUGAGUUAGGGCUAAUUAUGAGUUCAUUUUUGGUCCAUGGAUCCUCUUUUGUGAGUUUGAGCAACUCCAAGAGUUAAGGAUGUUAGAUCUAGGUCCCUUUGUCUGGUUGUCAGCAUAAAAAUGCUAACUUGAUGGUUGUUAAGGAACUAUGAAUGGGUUUAAUGUCUUGAAGAGAGUAUUAAUAGAUAAAAUGAAGUGUUGGGUUCCCUCAUGGCAUGCAAAGGCAUAAAGUUGCCAACUUUAUGCCUUAGGAACUCUUAUAUGACCUAGAUCUGGAGUUGGACGAAAUGACCUCAGGAGUUAAGCUCUUAAUGGUCAUUUGUGCAAAACCAGCUUGUACGAUGGGCAUAAUGAUUUGUAGGUUGUGCGUACAACCAAAGGAUCCAGUACGCUAAGCAUACUGAUGAGGAACGUUAGACGUACGCUCCCCAGUAGAGUUUGGGCUUCGUUGGACUUUUGAGCUAUUUAGGCCUUAUUUAGCAUCGGGCCUAGACCCAUUAAGAGUUAUUAGGCCUUUGUACUUGUUUUGGACCUUAGGUGGCAUGGUUGGGCCUAAUGGGCCUUGUAGCCCAUUAUUGUUUUGGACCUUGGAUAAUAGGACCAUUUAGGAAGAAAGGCAUUUGGGCCAUAUCAGAGGGAUUUGGAAUUAGGAUUGUAGGCCCUUGGCUAGGUUAUGUCAUAAUCCUAAUUACGGUAGUUUGUAUAUUUAUACAAUGUGAGAUUUUUGGAUUGGUAGCCGAGCAACUAUUGUUUUCAGCGGACCGAGGUGUGUCUUCUCACUAUGUGAAUGGGUCGAAGGCACCAAUGCCAACCAAUUAUCUGAUAUGUCGAUUGUUAUUUGUUAUGCAUUGAAUCUAUGAAGACCCUGGGGGUAACAUGUGGCGCUUACAUAAAGACCAUGGGGGUAGCCAAUGGCACCUGAUAUUAGACCGUGGGGGUAGCCCAUGACAUUUCAGGUAAAGACCAUGGGGGUAGCCUAUGGCACUUGGAUAUUAGACCAUAAGGGUAGCCCAUGGCAUUCCAGGCAAAGACCAUGGGGGUAGCCUAUGUCAACUUUAUGUAUGUCGCAUGGUAUUUUCUCGUUGUAUGUUAUGUGAUAUUUGGGAACUCACUAAGAUCUUGCACAGUUAAUUUGGGUGUUUUCAGGUACUUCCAAUACUAAAAGGAAGGGUCCGACUUGAUGGCGCGUCAUUCAUUCUCCAGCACUUUCCGCAUUUAUCUAUUUUGUUACUCUGAUAUUUGAUAUGAUAUGAUGUAAUGGAUUUUUGGGAACAAGUUAUGAUUUUAUUUCUAUUUUCAAAAAUGAAAAAUUUUAUCUGGUUUUUAGGUUGUUACAAGUUGGUAUCAUAGCCUUAGUUUAAGGGAUUCGGGCACACUUUCGGGUGUGUCAGAACUAAAUCUGAGGAAAUGGUAAACCUUUUUAAAAAGAUAUAAAAGUCAAGUUUUUCUAAAAAUUGUUUUCUUAAGUAAAAAGGGAGAGUGCAAUGCGCGAAAUCAGUCGAGCCCAAGUAAGUGUUUCCAGAAAUUUAACCAUGUGNNNNNNNNNNNNNNNNNNNNNNNNNNNUAUGUAUAUAUAUAUAUAUAUAUUUCUUGGAAUCGAUGUUGACUCUGUUAUUUGCUAAGUGUAUGCUUUCAAAGUUGUAUAUGCUUAGGAUUGCAUAGCCCUAGAAUGAUGGAUUCCGCCUUAUUUCAUGUUUCUUUUGUUGUGGUCUUAAGGUAGAAGCUCUAUUUGAUAGUCUAUGUGAUUCUAUCUAUGUAUAACUUUCAUGCAUAAGGCAACCUGCGGAGUUGAUUUGGGUUUCUAGUUUUGUGAGGAUUGAAAAAUCCUAGAAUAGUCUGGGAUAUGUGUAUGUGCUGUGUUUCAUGGGUCAUGUUUUAUCUAUGGUUAAGUGAAUUAGAGGUAUCAGGUACGACCUUGGGGAAGGUACAAGUAGGUGUGGAAGGUAGUAUUAGGCCCGUGUUACUGAAAGUACAUAAUAUGUACCCUAAAGAAGGAUAGACCUGGAAUCUCUAAGGAGUCCGAUGGGGAUGAAUCCCUUCAAAAUUCCUUAUCAAUUGAUUUUUAUGUUGUAUUUUCAGUUGAGGAUGGUGAUGGCUACAUAAGGAGGUUCAGUUUCAGGAUCAGGUUCAGGAUCGGGUUCAUGCUCUGGUGUAGAGCCGAUUGAUGAGAGGUUUUGCAAGCUUAUCGCAACUAAGGUUACACGAGUCAUCCUUGACUCUACCCCGGUGAUUUUUAGUACCAUCAAGGAGGGGAUCAUGGAGAUUAUAGAGAAACAGCUCAGGUCUUUUCGAGCCAAGAUCAUCACUGGUCAGAUUGGGACUCGAACUCCCUCAUGCUGGGAGUUCAAGGCAUGCAGAGCGCUUGGGUUCUUUGGGGUUAAGGACCCCGUCACUAGUCACCGCUAGAUUGUUGACAUGGAGAAUGCUCGGCGCACGAGCUUUUUCCCCCAGGUGGCAAAGAUGGGAUCCGCGUCCUGUAUGCUGAGGGACCAGGCAUGAGACUGGUGGGAGGAGGUUGCCUGUGAAGUUGGGUUGGAAGGUGUGACAAUGAUGACGUGGGAUGAGUUGUGCAGAGGUUUGAUAAGGAGUUUGCACCGCCGAUUGAGGUGCAACACCUGGUGAGGGAGUUCCACGACCUUCACCAGACUACGGAAUCUGUGGCGGAGAUUACUAUCAAAUUUAGAGAGUGGGUACUACUGGUCUCGUAGUACGCUGCGGAUGAGGAGAUGAAGAAGACGAGAUAUCAUGUUAUGUUGAGGGAUGAUAUCCGGGAGUUUGUGAGCUUCUCAGGGUGCAAGACCCUGAAUGACAUGAUUGAGAAGGCCCGUGAGCUGGAAAUUGAGUUGGAGCUCUAGAAAAAGUGGAAGCCAGAGCAGGUUUAAACAACAAUGGAGAUUGUCGGGUAGCAGGCUCGGUAUGUUAUGGUUGUGGCAAGCCGGACCACAUGAGUAGGGAGUGCCCCAAGAAGGGUUUGAUUUAUUUUUACUACAACCAGACCAGCCAUAAAAGGCCGAUUAUACGAGAUUGCCCGGUGGGGCAGUGGUGACGCCGGCACCAACCACCUUGAGGAUUGCUGAUGGCCACUAGGGUAAGGCGGAGGCUCCUGCGGUGAAGAGUAGAGCGUUCCAGUUGACCAUUGAUGAGGACUGUACAACGCCAAAUGUUGUUACUGGUAUGUGACUUAUCUCUUUUUUUUAAUGCUUUCUUGUUAUGCUUAUGUUGUUAUGAUUUUGUUGGUCAUUGGAUUGUUGGAUCGUGUUCUUUUUAAUUCGGGGGCUACCCGAUCAUUUGUAUCUUUUGCGCUUAGCAAGAAGUUUCGAGAUGCUUCGGGGACUUUAGAUUCCCUUCUUGAGAUGGAGAUUGCGGAUUAUCAUACUGUGAGUGAUGCAAGGGUAUUUCGUAGGACUAUUCUGAACAUGUUCGACGAGAGGUUUCCAAUCAACUUGGUACCAAUUCCUUUGAGGGGAUUAAAAGUAAUCAUCAGGAUGGAUUGGUUGGGACCCAAUGGAUCUGGAAGUGAUUAUGAGCGCCAGUUGGUGAGGGUUCGAACCCCAAGUGGGGGAGAACUGGUCAUUCAUGGUGACAGAGCCUCGUAUGUGCCAACCCUCUGUUCGGCUGCGAGGGCUAGGAGGCUUCUUCAGUAGGGUUGUUAUGGGUUUCUGUCUUAUGUUUUGAAUUUGAGGGUGGAGACCACGACAAAGUUGAGUAGGGUACCGAUUGUGCGAGAUUUUCCUGAUGUUUUUCCAGAUAAGUUUACUAGAGUGCCUCCCGAGAGGCAGGCUGAGUUCUGGAUUGAUUUAAUGCUAGGUACGACUCUGAUAGCCAAGGCGCCGUAUCGCCUGGCUCUGCCUGUGAUGCAGGAGUUGUCUACGCAACUGCAGGAGCAGUUAGACAUGGGUUUUAUUCGUCCGAGUAGUUCCCUGUGGGCGACACCAAUCUGAUUCGUGAAAAAGAAGGAUGGAUCACACAAGAUGUGUAUUGACUAUCGGGAACUGAACAAGAUGACAGUGAAGAACCUUUACCUGCUUCAAAGGAUCGACGAUUUAUUUGAUCAGCUUCAGGAUGCCUCUUGGUUUUCCAAGAUCGACCUUCGGUCAGGAUAUCAUUAGAUGAGGAAUAUGAAUGAGGAUAUAUAGAAGACGGCCUUUAGAACUCGAUAUUGUUUUUAUGAGUUCGUGGUGAUGUCAUUCAGGCUUACCAAUGCUCCAACAGCGUUCAUGGAUCUCAUGAACCAGGUGUGUAGAUCGAUGUUGGAUCUGUCCAUGAUUGUUUUUAUUGAUGACAUCCUGGUCUACUCUAAGACCAAACAACAACAUGAGCAACAUUUGAGGGAGGUAUUGGAGACCUUGAGGAAGGAGAGGCUUUUUGCUAAGUUCUCCAAAUGUGAGUUUUGGUUGCAUGAGGUGGAGUUUUUGGGGCACAUUAUCAACCGAGGUGGUAUCUUGGUGGACCCGAUCAAGAUUGAGGCUGUGAUGUACUUGGAAGUUCCGAAGAACGCAUUUGAAAUUUGGAGUUUCUUGGGCCUCACAGGGUAUUAUCAGAUAUUUAUCCAGGACUUCUCCAAGAUUGCAAUGCCUUUGACUCGUCUAACCAAGAAGAAUGUGACCUUUCAGUGGGGUCCAGAUUAGCAAUUGGCCUUUGAGACUUUGAGGAAAAAAUUACGCUAGGCCCCGAUUCUUGUGUUACCCAAGGGAUUGGAUGAUUUUGUGGUGUAUUGUGACGCUUGUAUUUCGGCUUUAGAAGUUGUCCUGAUGCAGAAGGGACAUGUGAUUGCUUACACCUCGAGGCAGCUGAAUGAGGCAAAUUACCCCACUCAUGAUUUGGAAUUGGGGGCAGUGGUGUUUGCCCUCAAGAUUUAGAGACACUACUUGUAUGGGGUCCGAUAUACUAUUUACACUGAUCAUAAGAGUUUGAAGUAUUUGAUGGAUCAGCCGAACAUGAAUAUGCGUCAUUGGAGGUGGUUAGACGUGGUAAAAGAUUAUGACUGUGAGAUUUUGUACCACCCUAGGAAGGCCAAUGUGGUGGCUGAUGCUUUAAGCCGUAAGGCAACGUGUUCUCCGAUCCAUUUUUUUAAGAAUGACGGUUACCUCACCAUUAAUGGAUAUGAUUAAGGAGGCUCAUGUAGAAAGACUGAAAAAGGAAAAUUGGAAGACUGAGCGGAUUAUGGGGCAUAUUUCGGUGUUUGUCAGAAACAAUCGGAGAUUAUUGACUCAAUGUGGUAGGUUUUGGGAGGAGAUCACCAUGGAUUUUAUAAUGAAAUUACCUAGGAGGGGGCGAGGUGUUGAUUCUAUUUGGGUUAUUAUGGAUAGGCUAACCAAGAGUGCUCACUUUAUUCCGAUUGUAGAGAGCAUAUCUGCCGAGAAAUUAGCGGAUAUCUAUGUCUUAGAGGUGGUAGUCAGGCACAGAGUGCCUAUAUCUGUGGUUUCGUACCAUGAUGUUUGGUUCACCUCCAGGUUUUGUAGGACAUUUCAUGAGGAAUUAGGCACCUAGCUACAUUUCAGUACAACUUACCACCCCAGACCAAUGAGAAGAGCGAGCGGACGAUCCAGACGCUCGAGGAUAUGCUUUGGGCAUACGUUCUAGACUUUGGAGGGAGUUGGUAUACUUACCUCCCACUAGCAGUGUUUUCAUACAACAAUAGUUAUCAUGCUAGUAUUGACUGACCCCCAUUCGAUAUGUUGUAUGGAAGGAGAUGUAGGACUCCGGUUUGUUGGGGUGAGCUUGGCCAUCAAGUCAUAGGAAGCACUAAAUUGGUUCUUAAGACCACUAAGUUGAUUCAGCAGGUGCGCGACUAGCUACGAGUUACGUAAAUCAUCUGAAAAAUUAUGCUGACCAACACCGAUCAGAUCUCGAGUUUCAGCUGGGAGAUUUCGUAUUACUGAGGGUGUCACCUUGGAAAGGUGUCAUCCGCUUUUGGAAGAGGGGAAAGUUGGGACCCAUAUUCAUUGGUUCAUUUAGGAUUGCUGUCCGAGUUGGGAAGGUUGCUUAUCGGUUGGAUAUCCCUGGUUAGUUGAGUCAGAUCCACUACACCUUCCACGUGUCUCAGCUGUGGAAGUGUGUGUCAGAUAAGGCUAUCGUUAUUUCAUUGGAUGAUAUUCAGGUGGAUGAGAGCUUGAACUAUGUUGAGAAUCCCAUUUGUAACAUCCCGAAAUUCAGGUAAAGUUAUUUAACCCUUCCAUUUUGUUAAGUUGUCAAGAUUGGUCCCUUGAGAGAGUUCUUGUAGCAAAUGAGUACGUUGGGCGUACUGGGGAGUACGCUGCGCAUACACAUGCGCUUAAUUUGGACGCGGACUCGCCUGGGUACACUGGGCGUAACGGGUCCAGAUGCAAACUCUAAAUGUUUGGCUUGUGCAUUAUUUAAAGGAUGCUAAGGCUCAUUUCUCAUCCUCCAUAUCAGAGAGUGAAACCCUAAGAGAGAGCCUUCCAUCGUCCUUAGCUUGAGUGUGUGUAUUUUGGAGCUGAAAAUGUCUUGGUGUGCUAGUGAAGAAGAAGGAGAAGAGCUUGUGGAGGCUAGGGCUUGAAGUGUAAGUUUGGAUCUGAGAUCUUCAAAGAAAGGAGCUUCAUCUAGAGGUAUAAAGUUCAAAACUUUCCUCUUUAUAUGGUUUGAUGUUGCAUGGACCAUUUCUAGGGUUAAAAGUCCCAAAGGUGGAGACUUUAUGAGUGUAAUGUACUCCAUGGACCUAGAUCUGUCCCAUUUCAGUGAUAUUUGUGUUAUAGAUCCAUAAAGUUUCCAUCUUGGUCGUUGUUAUGAGGUCAUGCUUGAGUUAUGAGCUUUCUAGAGUUGGGAAAUGGAAUGUUAUGGGUGUUAGUGACUUGUCCAGCCAUGCAAAGGCUUAAAGUCACCAACUUUAUGGAUUAAGAGGCUUAGAAAUGGUCAGAUCUAGAAGUUGGACGUGGGUCUUAACUGUUUAAGACCUCAAGAGCUUAGAGUCUGAAACUGGGAGUUACACGGGGCGUAAUCCCAGUACGCGCAACAUAAGGGGUCGCACACCCCGUUUCUGUGAGGACGCCGGGUACGCCCAACGUACAUGUUUGGUACGUGCAGUGUGACCCAGAGAGUUGACUUUUGUUGACUUUUAGGGUUUGCUCAACUUUAGGGUCUUUGAGCCAUGAGAGGGUAAAAUGGUCUUUUAUCCUUCUGAGAGUACUAAGAGAGGGAAUAGUCUAUCCUUGUGAGAUGUAUUGAUUUAGAGUGUUUAUUUCAUAUGAUUAGGCGGAGGCUAGACCCGAUUUUAUAGAGUUCGAGAUUACCGAGUUACCCGAGGUGAGUCUUCUCACUAUACUUUUCCUAGAGUGGUAAUUAGAGUUAUGUAACAGAGUAUUUUGUAUGAUUUUGCAUGAUGUGAUUUCUAUGUGAUUUACGCUAUGUAUGUUACAAAGUUUACAGAGUUAGGACCGGAAGGUCCACAGAGUUAGGGCCAGAGGGCCCACAUAGUUAUGGGACUGGAGGGUCCCACUGAGACACAUUGACCAGAGGGUCAAACAGAGUUAUAGCCUCGAGUGGCUAAUAUGUGUUACGUGUGGUAUUUUGGGGAACUCACUAAGCAUUUAUGCUUACAGUGUUGUGUUAUGUGUUUCAGGUACCAGUGAGGAUCGCGGGAAGGCGCCGACUUGAACAGUACACACUUGAGGAGCAUUUAAAUAUUAUGAUCUUGGGAUGUGAUGUUAUAAAUUGAUUAUGUGUUACAAUGAUAUUUUUAUAACAAUUAUGAAUGAAAGUGUGUGUGUUUUUGAAAUGUGAAAAAUUAUUGAAAAUUUGGGUGUUACACCAUUACAGUUCUAGAUACAAAAACUAAAGCUCUUCGUAACAAAGUGUUGAAGCUAGUGAAGGUCGAAUGGCAACACCAGAGGGGCUGUGAAUGGACCUGGGAGAGGGAGGACGAGAUGAGAGAGCAUUACCUAUAUUUAUUCGCAUCAACAGACAUCGAGGAUGAAGUCUAAUUCAAGUGGGGGAGAUUUGUAACGGUCAGAAUGCAGGUUUUUUUACCCUUUCUACGCUUGGAAUAAAAUUUCGUUUGCAUGGAGGGUCCGUACGUAUGCUGGGCGUACAUAUGUGUACGCUUAGUGUACUUGGGAGGAAUGGAUGCGGGCAUGCACCUCGUACAUGGGGCGUACCAAGUAGUACGUGAGGCAUACAUGGAUUAAGACCAAAACCCUAAUUUUAGGGCAAGGACCCUAUUUAAACACUCUUAUGCUAUUUGGACCUUGCCCUAAAGAGCCUCCAUUGUAUCUUAUCGUCCCAAAACCCUAGUUUUGCAAAAGACUGUGAUCCUUGAGCUUAAAAGUGUUUUUGGUGGCCAUUUUAGUGGGUUUGCAAGAAUGAGAUGGUGGUGGUCAAGUCUUGAACAUGGGUGAGAUUAUACAUCCUGCAUCUACUUCAUUUUGGAGAUCUCUUGGAGGUAAAAAGUCCAGACCUUGUUUAUUCCUUUCUCUAGAAAGAGUUAGGGCUAAUUAUGAGUUCAUUUUUGGUCCGUGGAUCCUCUUUUGUGAGUUUGAGCAACUCCAAGAGUUAAGGAUGUUAGAUCUAGGUCCCUUUGUCUGGUUGACAACAUAAAAAUGCUAACUGAUGGUUGUUAAGGCACCAUGCAUGGGUUAAAUGUCUUAAAGAGAGUCUUAAUAGAUAAAAUGAACUAUUGGGUUCCCUCAUGGCAUGCAAAGGCAUAAAGUUCCCAACUUUAUACCCUAGGACCUCUUAUAUGAUCUAGAUCUGGAGUUGGACGAAAUGACUUUAGGGGUUAAGUUUUUAAUGAUCAUUUGUGCAAAACCAACUUGUACGAUGGGCGUAAUGAUUUGUACGUUGUGCGUACAGCCAAAGGAUCCAAUACGCUAAGCAUACUGAUGAGGUACACUGGAUGUACGCUCUCCAGUGGAGUUUGGGAUUUGUUGGAUCUUUUGAGCUAUUUGGGCCUAGACCCAUUACGAGUUAUUGGGCCUUUGUACUUGUUUUGGACCAUAGGUGGCAUGGUUAGGCCUAAUGGGCCUUGUGGCCUAUUAUUGUUAUGGACCUUGGAUGAUAGGCCCAUUUAGGAAGAAAGGCAUUUGGGCCAUAUUGGAGGGAUUUGGACUUAAGAUUUUGGGCCCUUGGCUAGAUUGUGUCAUAAUCCUAAUUAGGGUAAUUUGUAUAUUUAUACAGUGUGACAUUUUUAGACUAGUAGCGAGCAACUAUUGUUUUCAGCGGACUGAGGUGAGUAGCUCACUAUGCCAAUGGGUCGAAGGCACCAACGUCGGCCAUUAACUGAUAUGUGGAUUGUUAUUUGUUAUGCAUUGACUAUAUGAAGAUCCCACGGGUAGCCUGUGGCACUUAUGUGAAGACCAUGGGGUAGCCCAUUGCACGUGGAUAUUAGACCAUGUGUGUAGCCCAUGGCAUUUCAAUUAAAGACCAUAGGGGUAACCCAUGGCACUUGGAUAUCAGACCAUGGGGGUAGCCCAUGGCAUUACAGGUAAAGACCAUGAGGAGUAGCCCAUGGUAGCUUUAUGUAUGUUGCAUGGUAUUAUGUGGUUGUAUGUUAUGUGAUAUUUGGGAACUCGCUAAGCUCUUGCUUACAGUUAAUUUGGGUAUUUUCAGGUACUUCCGAUACCAAGGGUAAGGGCCGGACUUGAUGUCGCAACAUUCACUCUCCAACACUUUCUGCAUUUAUCGAUUUUUUUACUCUGAUAUAUUAUACGAUAUGAUGUAAUGGAUUCUUAGGAACAAGUUAUGAUUGUAUUUCUAUUUUUAAAAAUGAAAAAUUUUAUCUGGUUGUUCGGCUGUUACAACUACCUAAAAUGGCUAGAUCAUUAAUCAAAAGAGUGAUCUCCUGGAAGGAAAUGAGCCUGUCCAUGAUUUUGGUAGCAUUAGUCAAUAGGGCGGUAAAAUUUAACCUAAUAGUGUAAUCUCCAUGAGCAUUAAUGAUUUUACCAUUACCAAGAAACGAUUCCACAUCCCUAACAUCCUGUCAUGUUGCUGGGUCACUAUAAACCCACUCCUCGUGUUCAGGUUCCGGUAUUGGCGCCGAUGAAUUAUCGAUUGUAAUCAGCGGGUUAUCACCUCCGACCACUGCAUUUUCGUAUUCAUCAUCGUCUGGAGUGGCUUAGGUGCCCUCAUUUUUGUGUAUUUCCCCUUCUUCCAUAUCAUUCAUUCACAUGUCUGAGAACCCCUCUUCUUCUUCUUCACUUUCAGACACCUCAUUAUAUUCUGAUUCUUCCCUGCUUGAAUCAUAUAUAUAAGGUUUUUUGUCCGCUUUGAAUUUGAAAGGAAACCAUGAAUCAUCAUCAUACUCUAUAACUCAUACUUACAAUGAACUUCCCUUUAGAAGAACAGAUAAUUCUUUAUUAAGCUUCUUUUUUACACUAGUAAGGAUGCCGACUUUGACAAAGGAAAGGUCAACAUGAUUCUUGAUGCCAUCAACCGAAAUGAUAAUUCUUCCAAAGUUGCUAAUGAUCUUGUUGAAAUUGGAAUCACUCAAUAUUUUUAUCGGCAAACCAACAAUUAUGAUCCAUGCUAUGAACUCAAAAUGGGAUUGGAAGAAUCUAUCAUUUGAAUCCAUUUGAAUGACGUAACAUCCCAAAAACAUAGUAAAAGUUUUCAUUUUUUUUAAAGAGAAAUCAUUGUUUUCAAUCAAUCCAAACCAUAAAACCCCAAGAUUAAACACACAAAUGUUCCAAAAUCGAUGUAUCAUAAUAUCUCCAAAACAGGCCACCGAAGGAUGUAUACAAUCACGCCUUUGAUUUCCCCCGAUCAUCUGAAGUACCUAACACAUAAAAAUUAAAUGGUAAGCUAAAGCUUAGUGAGUUUCCCAAAAUACUACCACAUAAACAUAUAACAUCACACAUACCGGGCCCUCAGCUAUCGGGCUGGAUUACCCGUGAGCCCACAAAAUGAGUCUGGCUAGCCUUCCUGGUCUAUAGAUCAUGUAUGGAUUGGUGGAGCCCACGAAAUCAGUCUGGCUUGCCCUUACUGGCCCACAACUUAUGUCUGGUUUGCUUCUGGUUUUAUUGGCUUCCACACAAAGCAUUAUUGCCUCAACCCAACCACACUAUGUCGACAUAUGUAAUAGAUAAAACAUGUAACAGCAAAAAGAUAAGCAUGCUGAUCUCAAUAAAUCACAAUAACAUAGUGACAUCCUAAACCAGGAUAUAUAACCUACUGGGCCGACAUUGGUGCCUUCGGCUUGCAACUAUAGUGAGAAAACUCACUAUGGCACACUACCUCGGUUUGUUUGAUAAUUCGGGGUCGUGACUCGAGGAUUAAGUAUCAUAAGGCUUUAGGCUUUAGGAAUGAGGCGUUUAGUCCCAUUUGGUGGUGGAUAAUGCAAGUUGUGGGUCCUAAAUGUUCGGUUUCUGUUUUGGAGCCCAAGGGUAUGACAGUAAAGUGACGGUGUGGGUUUUUCUUGAAUUUUGGUUCUAAGUUCAGAAAUGUCAAGGAUAAUGAGAGUUGAUAGGAUUGUAGAUCUUGUCAUUACCUUUCCAUGGAUAUAAAGAACAUCGAAAUUGAAGUUGGAACGAAGAAGUUAUGUCCGUUUGAAGUUUUGAGGAUUUUGGGCUAAGUCAUGUAUGUAAGGCGUAAAAGGCUAAAGUGUGAUUGUGGAAGGUAACCACAUAUGUUGGGCGUACGGAGAUCUGGGACAAACCCAAAUAUUUAGGGUUUGGACCCUAUUUAAGCAAUGUAUCUUUCUCUUGGACCAUCUUAUCAUCAACCUCAUUUCCCUCUAAAGACUCCCCAUGAAACCCUAGCUUGUUCUUGUGUGUUUUUGAGCCUUCAUGGUAACCUUUUGGCAUUUUGGUACUCUUUGAAAAAGGAAGAUCUUGGUGGUGAAGCUUAGGUUGGAUUAUAGCUUAAAGAUGCAAAGUCUUCAUCAACGUUAAUAGCAUUAGAAGGUAUAAAUCUCUUAUCUAGAUUAAUCCAAGUGUUAGAUCUAGUUUAGGGCUUGUUUUGACCUUAAUAUGGUCCCUUGAGUCAUCCUUGUAAGUAUAAGCUACUCUUGGAAGCUUAGGAAGUUAGCUCUUUGCAUUUAUGAUAUCGUUAGUGCAUAAAAAUGUCAUCUUGAUGGGUUUUGAUGAACCAUGCAAGAGUUGGUACCCAUAUUAUGGACUUAGAUGGAUGAGAACGGUUAUUGGGUCCCAUUAAGACAUGUAAAGGAGUAAAGUUGCCAACCUUAUUUAUUAGGAUUUCAAUUACCAGUAGAUCUAAGGUUUUGAUGUUGUGGGCUUAAUGGAUUAAGUUAUUUGAAUAAGGAAAUAGGGUAUGACCAGUACGUUGGGCAUACUCUAUAGUAUGUUGUGGGUACUUUGCUAAACCCGUGUACGCUAGGCGUAAGUCUAAGUAUGUUGGGCGUACUCAACAACUAUUAACUUUUGUUAACUUUUGUGGUUUGUGCCAAAUUUGUUGGACUUUGGGUGUCCUUUAGGGAUUUGGCCACAAUUAGGCUUUUUGUGGCAUGGAUUUUAGGCCCGGUUAUUAGGCCAAGUGAGGUAAGUGUAAAAUGGUCUUCUACCCUAGGUGUUGGACAAAUGAACUAGAUCCCGUUAUGGUUUAUGGACCAAUUAUUAAUUUGGGUUUUAUUUGAUUGGUUAGCGUGGGGACUCUCCGGUUCAGUAGCCCGAGCAUCUGCUUUUCUGAAAGCAGACUGAGGUAAGUUUGCUCAAUAUACUGUAGGACACUAGGAUAUGUUAUGUGCUUUUAGUAUUUUUAACCCAUGUUGUAUAUGUUAUAUGUAUGUGUUUCUAUUUGCUAUAUGUAUGUGGGGUGAAAUAGACCCGAGGUGAAAUAGAGUCGGUACAGCCUAGUGCUUACAUAUGAGUUGAAAUAGACCCGAGGUGAGAUAGACCCAAUACGGCUUUGGGCCAACGCCUGAGUAGAAAUAAACUCAGGGGUGAAAUAUAUCCGUUGGGGAAAUAGACUCAACACAGCCUUGAGCUGGCAGAUAUGUAUGGUAUGCGGUAUUUUGGGGAACUCACUAAGGUUUGUUCUUAUGGUUAAUGUUUUAAAUGUUUUUCAGGUACUCCUAGUCCGCGAAGGAAGGGCCCGACUUGAUCGUAGCGUAUCCACCCAUGUUUCUGAACUUCAUGAUUUUGGGAAUUGUACUCUAAUCACUAUUUCAUUUUGAUGUACUAAAGAAUGCUUAAAAUUAUUAAAGGGUGUUUAUGGUUGAUUUAAAAACGAAAAUUUUACCCUAUAAUUUUUGGGAUGUUUCAAGUUGGUAUCAGAGCCUUGGUUUGAGGGAUUUAGGCAUACUCUCGAGUGUGUCUGAACUCAGACUGUGGGUUUGGUAGAUUUUACCCAUACAUAUUUGUUAAUAUAUAUGAUAUGAGAAUUUCAUGCUAGAUUAGGGAAAUGGAUCUGCGUAGGAUUUUUUUGCUAUGAGAGAUGCCUUUAUAUGCCUGAUUGUCCGAGCUUUUAGAAUUGCAUGCUAGUAUGGAUUUUCAGAAGAUUGUAUGGAUUGGCAUGAUAUGUGAUGCCUUGUAGACUAAGAGGAAUUGAAUGAUGUUUUAGAUUCAUAAUCUUUAUUGGUAGUAAGUAACCAUGAGAUGUCCACUGGUUGUCUUGUGGGUUGAAGUGUUAUUGCUCGAAUGUUGCUUGCUUUGUGCUUUGUGGAAUACUUAGUGAUGUAAAUUAACUAUUAAGUGAAUAUGCUAAGUCACAUGUUGGAAAGGUUAAAUAAUCUCAGAGUGAUUGAUUUGACCUUAUUGCACAACUCUUGUCUGAGUGUAACCGUUGUAGGGUUGAUACCUUUACUUAAAGGAUUAUCUAAUCUUUAUGGCAUGUGAUUAUAUUCAUGAGGUAGUUAGCUGACAUUAGUGGGAGUUCUUUAGCUGCUAAUGGUAGGGUGAGGUCGGGAACCUAGGAAAGCCUAGGAAGUGCUUUCAUGGUUUUGUUUCACUAUUUAGCAGGUAUAUGGAGUAUUGGUUUGAGAAGGUGACUUGCAAGAUUCGGGAUGAUUCUUGAGGAAAGUAUUGAUAAGUGUGGAAGGUAGUAUUGGGCCCGUACUACUAAAAGGAUAAGUUCCAUAGUCGCCUCGAGGAGAGUCACAUAGAAUCUAGUAAGCCAGUGGAAUGAGAAUCAUUUAGAUAUGCUUUGAUCAUGUGUAUGAUUACUUUUCAAAAUGGUGAUGAGCAUGCAUGGAGAAGGUUCAGAUUUUGACGCAGGCCUAGGUGUAGGCUCUAGUAACGUGCCAAUUUGUGAGGGGAUGUAUGAUCCCCUCACGUCAUCCAUUGACAUAGUUGUAUAUCAGCCCAUUAGGGAUUAUGGGAGAGCGGCCAGGGUUCUGAGUUCACGUUGGAUUAAGGAUAUGGAAGGUGUCUUCCAAACUAGUCCCUAUCCCAUUAAAGCCAAGGUUCGAUUUUCCUUAGAUCUCUUGCAUCAUGCGGCAAGGAAUUGUUGGGAAUUGAUUUCACAAUCUAUUAUGCUUACAGAGUUUGAUGCUAUGUAUUGGGAAGAGUUUAUGACUCGGUUUAGCGCGGAGGGUGCUCCCAUUAUCAAAGUGCAGCCGUUGGCAAGGGACUGAAAGAUGUGAUUACUAGGUCCGUGAGCGGGAGAUUGAUAUGGGGCACCUCAAAAAGAGGUAGAUAGAGCAGGUUCAGAAAACAGUGGGUCAGGCGAAGAAGCCCGAUACUCGGGAUUUGCGGUUGCGAUGGCAGUAGGUCUGGGGCCGUUAUUCCAACUAUGGGAGAACCCAUAUGGGAGAUUAUCUGGAGACAAGGAGGGGAUGUUUCAAUUGCAAACAUAUGGGUCACUUUGGUAGGGAUUUCCCUCGAGAAUCGGUUUCGAUAUGGUUUCACUACAACUAAGUGGGCCACAAGAAGGCUAACUGUGUAGGGUUGAUGAGAAGAUAAGUGAGAGCACCUGCUCCAACUACUCUAAGGAGUACUGAUAGUCACGAGGGCAGUGUAGAGGUACCUAUGGUGAGGACGUGCGCAUUGCAGUCACAGGUCGAGGGGAUCCGAAUUCAACUAGUUGAUGCCACAAGUAUGAGAGCAGGGUCAAUUCAUGGUUUAGGCUUGUAGUUUCCUCUAGGCUUGAUUAGCCGAUGACAGGGAAGGUCGUGAUACUGUGGGAAGAUCAUAGUAUUCAUGGAAUUAAGGAAGGUUGUGGGUCAUGCGAGGCCGGUGGUUACAUAAGACUACAGUUGGGCAUGUAUACGUUUAUAGGUGAGUGUUAUUGCAUCGAUGUAAGGGUUGGUUAUGUUACUAAUCAAUUGGAUCAAGAGGGCUAUUAGAACCAUUAUGACAAGAAAACUAGGACAACUCUUGCCAGAUAGGCCAUCUCUCAGGAGUCACAUGAUACGAUUGCAUAAGGCUAUCAGCCUCAACAACCGCUUGGGGGUCUAGUUUAUCUGUUAACUAGUAGGUAAGCAUGAGACCAGGAAGGUCUCAGCUGCAUUAGAAAUGUAAUUAUGGAUCAGUAAGAUGAUCCUAGGAUUGUGCUAGCGUUAGAGGCACAUGUUAAGAAUCACCUUGUUAUCGAGUGAUGGGUUUUUGGCAGUAAUAAAUGGUCAGGGAUUUUGUUUGCCUAUGGAAACAACAAGGUAAUCCAAGGUCGAAUGGUUUAUGUACGGUUUGGAUUGCGAAAUAGAGUAAUAUUUGCAAUUAUUCAGAAUGAUUUUGUAUGACAGGAGGUCGGACAAGGUAUUGGAUUCCUGAAUUUGAAUUGGGUAGUGAAGGUUUUCCUUCAUUAGUUAUGGUUAGUGGGAGUAAGGAUUCAUUCGUCGUCAGUGUGGGAUCCCUUCUAAGGUUGGGUUUGAAUAUAGCUUUGGAAGGAUGUUGUAAGUAGGGGUCUACUUUUCAGUCCGUAUCAAGGUUGUGUGAGUAUUGUCCAAGUUGUUUGGCUCAUCUGGAAGGUAGUAAGGAGUGAUUUCGAGGACGAAAUCUAAUUAAAGUGGGGGGAGAGAUAUAGCAAAUGGUCAUUUCAUAAUUCGGUGACGUGACCCGAUGAUCAAGUAUCAUAAGGGUUCGGGCUUUGGGAAUGAGAGGUUUUGUCCCAUUUGGUGGUGAAUAAUGCAUGGUGUGGGUACCAAGUGUUCCGUUUAUGUUUUGGAGCCCAAGGGUAUGACGGUAAAGUGACGGUGUGGGCUUUUCUUGAAUUUUGGAUCUAAUCUCGAAAAGUUUCAACAAGGAGAGUUUUAAGAUGCUUUUUGCAUGGUUUUGUGGGAUUGCAUGCAUCGUAUCCAUAAAGUUGUAAACUUUAUGGAUCAUUGAGACAUAUUCUAAAUUAUAAUCGUUGGAUCUGAGUUUUGGAGUAGUUUUAGACUCCAAGCAUGAGUCUUGAUCUCAUUUUCCUUCUUUUGACCUAGUGAGUGUUUGAGUCAUGUAUUGGACAUGCAUGACUGAAAAACACGAUUUUAUCAUCCUUUAGGUAAGGAAAGACCCUCUAGAAAGUCCUAAGUAGUCUCUAAAAGGAAUAAGAGCUUAAUGCUCAAAGCUGGCCAAGGCAAUGCUCACGAUGUGAGGAAUGAGCCUGUCACAUCGUGAGAAUGCAUUUUGUCUUGAUUGUUUUGUCCAAAUUGGGUCACAACAUGACCAAGAGUAGACAUAAUGUGAUGAUGACUAGAAUCGAGACUGGGCGAUUUGAUGGGCUGAUUUGACCUGUUGAGUUGGAUCGGGUCGAGUUAAUACUUACGACAUGACCAUGAGCUGGUUACAAUGUGAGGGUCAGCCGUUGGAGGUUGGAAUCCCUUUAGACUUUGGGCCUUUUCUAGAUUUUGGGCCUUGUAUCUGUUGGGUCAUAGUUGGACCUUAGGUUUAUGGGUUGGGCCACUAUUAGGCCUUGGACCACUAUAGGGUCAUUGGGCUAAGCUAUUUGGGCCCAAUAAAGGAAAAAGUUAGAAUAGUAUUUUAAACUAGAGACUAAGGGUGUUGGGUCGGGGGCCCUAGUUAUGAAUUUUGAUCAAAUUAUUAAUUGGGGUAUUGUUUGAUUGAUUAGCAUAGGGAUUUUUCUGGAUCAGUAGUCCGAAUAUUUAUCUGAUUUUCAACACUUUGAGAUGAGUCUCCUCACUGUGCUUGAUGGGUCGACGACACCAAGGCCGGCCCAUAGUUUAUUAUGAUUAGGAUGAUAGUUGUUUGUGUGACACUUGCAUGUGUAGUAUGUGAUCUGUAUACCAGGCGAGGUCCGAUGCCAGGCGGGGCCUGAUGAGUAUAUUGUACGUUAUUUUUCUUAGUGAUUUUGGCAUGUUUUUUAUGUUUCUGUAUGAAGGUCAGGCGGGGCCCGAUGCUAGGCGGGGCCCGAUGCUAGGCGGGGCCUGCUGAAUAUGAUGAGGCGGGUCCUAUUUCAUGUUACUAAAUGAUAUGUUCCGAGCACGACUUGAUGUUGCGCGGGUCCCGAUGGUUGUUGGGCAUGGCCCAUGGUAUGUUGAUACAUAUGGUAUGUGGUAUCUUGGGGAAUUCACUAAGCUUUAUUCUUACGGUUUUCAGUUUAUGUUUCAAGUACUUUCAGAUCGAAGGGGAAGGGCUCGGGAUGAUCACAUCGCACACACGACGUUGUUCUACAUUUUGUUGAUUUGAUGUACUUGGAUGAUUAUUGACAUACUUUGAUUUUCUUUUAUGGUUUUAUGAACACGUUUUGGAUGAUGGUUUUAUUAUUAUAAAAAUGAAACUUUUGGUCUUAAAUUUUGGGACGUUACAUGGCAUAUAGUCAUUCUCGCCUCAAAACUCCCAAAACCUCUUAAUGGUGCUCCACAUGUUGCUCCCUAGUCUUGGAAUAGACCAGGAUAUGACCAAUCAAAACAAUGACUAAUCGAUCGAGCAUUAUCCUGCAUACCCGAUUCAUCAAGUCCAUAAAUGUAGGGUGAGCCCAAACAGCAUCACCACAAACUCGUAAUGACCAUAAUGAGUCUAAAACCGUCUUCUCUACAUCCUCCUCUCUAAAACUCAUUUGAUGAUACCCUGACCUCAAAUCGAACUUGGAGAACCAAGAUGUACGUUAUAGAAGAUAGAAAAGACCAUCAAUCUGUGGAAGUGGGUAACAAUUUUUCACCAUUAACUUAUAUAAAUCCAAUAAUCAAUACACAUGCGGUGGGACUCAUCCUUCUUCUUCACAAAUAUGAUCGGCGUUUCCCAAGGCAGACUUCUCGGUUUGAUAAAAUGUUUGCCCAACAGCUCCUGAAACUGAGAGGACAACUCCUACAUCUCUAAUGGUUCUAAUUUGUAUGGUGCCUUAGCAAUCAGGGCCGAACUGGGAACUAAAUCAAUCCUGAACUCAACUUGCGUCUCAGUUGGCACACCGGAUUAUUCCUCCGGAAAUACAUAUUGAAACUCCCUAACUACGGUAACAUCCGACACUAAAACCUCCUUUCCGAUCCGAGUAUCAACCAUAUAUGCAAGAUAACCCAUACACCUAUGUUGAAGAUACUGCCGAGCACUGGCACCAAAACAAAAGGCUGAUCUAACCCUGGUACCUCAUCAUAAAUAAUAGUUGUCCCCCACUUGGGGUUCAAACUACUAAUCGUUGUCCCUCAUAGUCAAUCAUCGCACCAAACCUACUCAACCCGUCCAUCCCCACUAUCACACACACACACACAUCCCCCAUAGAGAUAGUUAUCAGAUCAAUCGGUUAGAUACCUUGAAAAUCUCCAAAAUGCAACCACAAAAAAUGCUCAAUGUAGAAACCCCGUCCUCGUUAGCGAUGGAAACUCGCAAAACACACUCCAAGUCUCCUAGAGACAUAUCAAAACUUCUACUAAAGGACUAAGACACAAAGGACCGACUUGCACCUGAUUAAAAAAGCAAAAGAGCAGGCAAGGAAUUCACUAAGAAGGUACCUAGCAGAAUCAUAUACAUAAGCAUACAAUAAAAUAAUCUGACAGAAUAAUAAAUGAAAACAUACCAGUAACGACGUUCGUCUCCACCCUAGCCUCCCGUGCUGUGAGUUGGAAGGCAUGACCUCGAGCCAUCGGGGGCUCCACCCUGCCCUGGCGUCCAUCCGUGAUCCUUAAAGUAGGUUGUACUGGAACCUGCACCAGUCUCGCUAGGAGCAAGGGACAAUUGGCCUUCGCAUGCCGAACCUAAUCAUAGUGAUAGCAAAUACUGGUGCUCGGUACAAGGGCCUGCUGACGAUAAUCCCUAGCAAUAUGUCCCUCUCUGCCAUAUUUGUGGCACCCCGAAGAAAAUUGACAAGUACCCUCAUGAACCUUGCUGAACUUGCCACAAACACAACCCCUCUAUCCCUCAGAUCGUGAAUCAACGGGCUUGAACCGCUUCGCUGCAGGCUGUGACUGAACGGGAUCCUAACACCACUCUCUUAUCUGGGUCACUAUCUCAAUCUCUCGCCUCCUUGUGGCAUCCUAAAGCUCAAACAGAGAGAGAGAGAGAGAGAGAGAGGGAGAGAGAGAGAGAGUACUUUAAUGUUAAGUUGACAUAAACUGUUGAAUAUUAGUCUUGAGCAUGCUCAAGUAUCAUAUCAUUUGGGCCUUAUCUGAAGCAGCAAACUUGGUACAUAAUAGAGCUCUCUCAAUAAACAUCUUGGUGAUCUCUGUCAGUAACUCUGUCAUCUAUCUCAAAUCCAGGUACUCCUGAUCCAAUCUCUCCCACUACACCAUGGGAACAUACCUCAUGUGAAACAUCUCAGAGAACUGUUCUAAAGUAGCACUAGUCUUUUUCUCAGGAGUGUAGGAACCGGCCACCUGGUUCGACUAGUCCUUUAUGCGUAAUCGAAGGAGGUUUAGGGCGCACCUGAAAUUCCAGUCCUCCGGAAAAGAACAGGUGAUGAAGCACCCUCGACGUCUAAAAUCUACAUCAUAGCCACAAUCGGGUCCUUGACCCCGUCGAACUUCGAGGGCUUUGUGUUGCUGAAGUCGUGGUACUAGAAUGAACCUCCUCAUCGGCCUCCCGCAACAACGACAACUGCAGUGGCUAUAGCAAUAAUAGUCUCAGAAGGGUGACAUAGAGAUCAUCAAAUAGCUAAAUCAUCACAGUGUUGAUAGACCCAAACAACUCCGGGAUCGCACCUCGGACAGCGGUAGCCACCUUAGUAGCAAUCCUCUCGCGUAUCUGAUCAUUAGUCAACCAUGUCCUAUCUUGGCCACCAGCUCCAGAACCAGAUCCUUUCGUGAACACCAUACUGAAAAUGAACCAACCACAACUCAUACUAUUACAAUUAUCAUAGAGAGACUAAACCCUCAGGGUUCGUGACUUCCUAGCUACACAUACGACAUAUGUGCUUUCAGUAGUAUGGGUACAUACAACCUUCCACACCUACUCGUAUUUGUCUCAAUGGAUCAUCACAAUCUACUCGAAACAUACCAAUAACUAGGAUAUGAAUACAUCCUAUACCCACUCUCUCGAGAGUGGCUAAUCACUCCUCAACUGGCCUACUAUUCACGUACUCACUCAUGAAACUUCCACCAACCCUAUAGCCGUUUGUGCAUGCUACUGAUAGAUAAUGUUGGAUCCCAUAGACAGUCAAAUACUUGAUUCUACCCUAAGACCACAACCAAACAUGGAACAUGAAAUAAUACUAAACCAAAAAUUUUCAGGCUAUAGAAUCUUAGUUAUGUAUAACUACGAUGCACACACUAAGAAACUAUAGUAAUGAUUUCAAUUUCAUCUAACAUUCAAGAAAUUUUCCUAGGCUAUCUGGCAUCAUACAUCAGGCAAUUCUAGCAUGCAAUUCAUGGAGAUCCCUAGCCUACAACUAGCAUGCAGUUCUAUAAAAAAACAUUAUUAAACAUAAUAGUGUGGGUAUCUUGGAACAUACUUUCUUGCUCUGGCUAAUCGUACACAUCUCAUUGUUCUUGGUCAUCCUUGAAACAAUGUUGAAAACAAUUUUAAAAACAUUAUGGAAUUUAUUUUGAAAACUUUUACAAACCCAUAGUUUGAUUCUGGAUUUACACGAAUGCUCAUCCAAUUCUCUCAAACCAGGGCUUUGAUACCAACUUGUAACAUCCCAAAAAUUUCAAUAUUUUUUUUUCAUUUUAAGUAAAGGGAAAUCAUUGUUUUCAAUCCAUCCAAACCAUAAAAACCCAAGAGAAACUACAAAUGUUCCAAAAUCAAUGUAUCAUAAUAUCUCCAAAACAUGCCACCGAAGGAUGUGUACGAUCACACCUUUGCUUUUUCCCCUAAUCAUCUGAAGUACCUGAAAUAUAAAACUUAAACGGUAAGAUAAGGCUUAGUAAAUUCCCCAAAAUAGUACCACACAAACAUAUAACAUCAUGCAUACUAGGCCCUCAGUCAUCGGGUGAGAUUACCUCGGAGCCCACAGCAUGAGUUUGGCUUACCUUCUUGGCCCACAACUCAUGUAUGGAUUGCUCCCGAUCCCACAACAUAAGUUUGUCUUUCCCUUACCGGUCUACAGCUUAUGUAUGGCUUACUCCCGGGUUUGUUGGCUUCCACAUAGAGCAGUAUUGCAUCAACCCAACAACACUAUGUCGACAUAUGUAACAGAUAAAACAUAUAACAUCAAAUUGAUAAUCGUGCAGAUAUCAACAAAUCACUACAACAUAGCAACAACCUAAACCUUGAUGCAUAACCUACCAGGUCGGCGUUGGUGCCUUCAACCAGCAAGUACAGUGAGGAAACUCACCUCACUGUCUGAAAUGAUACCUGAACAAAUCACUAAUCCGAAUACUAACUCUACUGAUCACAUAUACAAUGAAAUGGAUUCAAACUUCAAUGUACUACUCAAACUACCCAAAAUGACCUAAAGUCAAACUUUGUCAAAGUUAACGGUCAGUGUGAACUCCAGCUGGUCGCCACGUCUUGGCCAUCCUUGUCCACAUCAUGGCCACUAAAUGACAAGCUAGAUGAGUCUUAUCCCAUCUAUUACAUCGUCGUAGCCUAGGCCAUGCUGUAGGCACUGGGCUCCUAACAAGUUAAUAAAUUAAGACAUUUUCUUUGGAUUCUAAGUGCUCCAAAUCUCAGAUCUGGUGUAUUUGAUUGUAUUAGUGGAUAAAGUUUCCAACUUUAUCCCUUACAACCUUCCAAGAGGCAAAGAUCUCACCCUUAGGUCCAAAAAGGGGUGAAAACACAUCAUGGCUUAGUCAUUAAGCACUUAAUCUUGAAGAUCUCAUGACCAUCGAUUCUAGAAGGGUUACUAGUUUAAAAAAUAACAUAAAAAUCCAUGAUUUCAAAGCAUGCAUGUCCAAUGCAUAUCUUGAAAUCCUAAUAGGUCAAAACCAGGGUUUAUUGUCCAAAUUUCUAUGCAUGACACCAAAAUUCAUUUAUAAAUCAGAUCCACUACACCAUAUACUCUAAAUAGCUUGGGGAUUCAUAAAGUUGCAAACUUUAUAAGACCCCACCAUCCAAAUCCAUCAUGACAUGAAGAAAAGGGACAUAAUCAAGAGAUCUAGUAACAUAGCAAGGAAAACGUUGGAUCUUGGACACUCACCAAGGACCAGGAGAUGUGCUAGCUGAAGGAAAUGAUGCUUCCCAAGUAACUACCACACCAAGGGUUUCCUUCUCCUUCAAAAAUCACCAAAAAGCACCAAGAAUGAGCUCACAACUUCAAUGGAGGCUACGGUUAGGAUUUUUUGAGUUUGAGAGGGUGAUAGAAGUUGAAUGAUCACAAAACCUUUCCUUAAAGUUCUUUAUAUAGGACCGCAGGCCCGGAAUUAGGGUUUUACACUAAAAAACAUGCCACACCAUGGCAAGUCAUUUAAAUUUUGCGGUCCAAAACAUCCUGCCACGCCAUGGUGAUGCUCCAACACGUCAUGGCCAUCCAAAAAUUGAAAAUUAAUUCAAAUUUUGAUUCGUACUUGGAACGAGUGUUAUAAAUGAGUUCCUCUAUUUAUUCUUGUUCUCUAGGAAUCCCAUCACUUUAGAAGUACUCUGGAAACUAAGAAUGGCCUUCAUCCCACCUGCAUAUUUUUUGUUGGCCACUAUAUCAUUAUGAAUUGACAACAGGGCAGGGAGGUGCCCAAGAUGAUCAAGACAUAUUGCUUCUCAAAAUAAGAGUGGUCUUUUGGAUCCGUCUCUCCAUAUACAUAUCGUUAUAAAGAGGGGUUACAAAUAUAGGUGGCGAGGGUGGCAGUGGGAGAAUUGUAUUGUUGUAGUUAUUGGCUCCUACAACUUUAGCAUACGAUCUGCUUCCAACAUGUCCCGUAAAACCCUUUAUAGGAUUUGGGUUUGAUGAAUGAAACCCAUUGUAGUGCUUAGAGUGUUUCAUUAUAUCGGUAGUACAAUGUGACUCUUUAUGACUGUGUCUGGAAAUGUUGAUUUCUAGAAUGUCGUUUCUGCAUCCAAUUCCAGUUAAUUGGAUUCCAAUUCCUUAGGAUUCUUAACUCCUUCAAAACGGAUAAAGCCAAAGUUUUUCUUAUUUUCCCUUUUCUUUCUCUAAAGUAGAUGUAUGUUAUCUUUCCAUAAGAGGACCAGAUCUUCCUGAGCUCUGACUUAGUUGCUCCAUCUAGUAUGUUGGUGACAAAGAAGUUAAUUCCGUUGGGCCUGCCAUAUUUCCUUGGCUGAGAUUUUUUCCGACGGCGUACCUGAGUCCAUUCACCUUCCUUUUCAUUUGAGAGGAUUCUAACUUCGAUAUAAGCUAUCGGUUUGAUUAUUUCUAAUCUUUAAAUUUGUUAACAUUUAUUAUCUACUUUUAAAUUCUCUCUCUCUCUCUCUCUCUAUAUAUAUAUCUAUAUAUAUAUAUAUAUAUANNNNNNNNNNNNNNNNNUUUAAUUUUUCCUAUUUGCUUAUGUCUUCAAAAUACAUAACAAAAUAGAAAAAGUAAUAUUUGUUACCUUUUUUAGAACCGCGAAUUAGUAUAUGCCUGGAAUUAAACUCGUGACAUCCUUGUUAAGCAUCUUGUUAGUUAAAUGGGCUAGCCAUAAACACUAAUCAUAAAACGAAAACGUUAGAGUGAAUUACACAUUUGUUCCCUAUGGGUUGCCCAAGUUCACACUAUUGGUAAUAAUAUUGUAUUUAUAAAAUGGCUAAUCAUGCAAUUUGAUUUCCCUGCAUAAAUGGUCCUUGGGUUACUAAACUUACACUUUGGUUAAUAAUUUUUAAAUAUACAUGAUCAUUUUGCUCUUACCCUACCCCACCCGCAUAGCCUAUAUAUAAGGACUAAAUCUGUACCAACUUUUUAGUUUAACUAAUUAUCUAAGGCAACAUACUUUCACAACCACCAUCAGAAUAUGAAAUGCACUUUGAAAAAAAUUAAAAUAUGACUAAUAAUCCACCAACCCCUUCUUUACUUGUCCCUUACCACCCUUCCACAACUACCACUAGAGUAAGCAAUGUACUGUCAGACAGAAUUAAUUAUGGCAAUGUACUUUAAGGGGAAACAUCAGCAACAUGAACCACUCACCAACAAUCACCAAUCACCUCCAUCAUCCCACUCCUGCCACUACCCUCACAACCACCAUAACACAACUCCUAAUACAACCCUACUCAUGCUUACCAUCCUACACCUAUAUACCACCGUCCCACUCACGCCACUAUCAUCACUGCCACUAGAACACAAGUCAUGCCAUCACCCUACUCCUUCUGAUGUACACAAAUAUACUUACCAGUUUUAAAUUUAUAAUAUAACGAACUUAACUAGCUAGAAUGCACAUAGGCAAUGUACAUAGUCGAAUUAUAUAAUAGUUUAGGUAUGUUGGGUGUCGAUCACAGGGAAUGUUAUUUAGCUAAUAAAAUAACUACUAAAAAUUAAACUAGGAAAAACAAUCAAAAGUGGGGGUUUUUUACUGAUUUUGGAAAUUCAACAACUUAAUUCAAUCAACUAGCAAAUUACAACUAGAAACUAAGAAAGCAAAGAGAAUGAUUUUAAUUCAAGAUUUAAAGAGUACUUUUGUUACUUCCGAAUCCCCCCUUUUGCUUAUGGUUGAUGUAUAUUAGAUUACUUAUGUUGGUUACCAAAUUAAUAUAUAACUAGUUAUUAUGAUCAAAUUCCUAGCUUUUACCAGUUUAUGACUUACCAGUUAGAUUGGAUUCCAACUCCUUAGGAUUCUUAACUCCUUCAUAACGGAUAAAGCCAGAGUUUUUUCCUAUUUUCCCUUUUCUUUCUUCGAAGUAGAUGUCCGUUGUCUUUCCAUAGGAGGAGCAGAUCUUCUUGAGCUCCGACUUAGUUGCUCCAUCUAGUAUGUUGGUGACAAAGAAGUUAAUUUCCUCAAGCCUGCCCUAUCUCCUUGGUUGAGAUUUUUUUCGGUGGCAUACCUGAGUCCAUUCACCUUCCUUUUCAUUUGAGAGCAUUUUAACUUUGAUUUAAGGUAUCGGUUUCAUUAUUUCUAAUCUUUAAAUUUGUUAACAUUUCUUAUCUACUUUUUAAAUUUAAUAAAUAAUAAGUGGUUGCCAUUUAAAUACUAAAAUACUCUUUGGUUUUUAUACAUUAUACAUUAUAUAUANUAUAUAUAUAUAUAUAUAUAUAUAUAUGAGCUAGGUUCAAAUGUGGAUAGACAUUUAUUGCGUUGACGUGUGGAUAAUGUUAUUUUGUGAGAAUUACAAAGAAAAUGUGUUGUUUGAUAAUAUGAAUACGUUCAAUCUUAUAUAAUUAUUUUAAUUAGUAAGCAUUUUCACUAAUUAAAUCGUCUAUAAGGUUAUUAUACACUUUUUUUUAAUCAUUCUCUUUCUGUCAGAAUGUUAUCAGGAUGUUUAUUGAGUCGUAUUCUAUAAGGAUUAAAAUAUAUAAAAAAACGAUGAAUGAGAACAAAAAUGAAUUAGAAUUGGUGAGAGUCCAUUAAAAUAACAAUAGUUCUGUGAGAUAUUAAAAAAAAAUAUGACAAUUAAUCCACCAACCCCUUCUUUACUUGUCCCUUACCACCCUUCCACAACUACCACUAGAACAAGCAAUGUACUGUCAGACGGAAUUAAUUAUGGCAAUUUACUUUAAGGGGAAACAUCAGCAACAUGAACCACUCACCACCAAUCACCAAUCACCUCCAUCAUCCUACUCUUGCCACCACCCUCACAACCACCAUAACACAACUCCUGCUACAACCAUACUCAUGUUACCAUCCUACACCUAUAUACCACCGUCCCACUCACGCCACUAUCCUCACUGCCACUAGAACACAAGUCAUGUCAUCACCCUACUCCUUUUGAUGUGCACAAUUAUACCUACCAGUUUUAAAUUUAUAGCAUAACGAACUUAACUAGCUAGAAUGUACCUAUUAAGUGUACCUAUUCGAAUUAUAGAAUAGUUUAGGUAUGUUGGGUGUCGAUUACAUGGAAUGCUAUUUAGCUAAUAAAAUAAUUACUAAAAAUUAAAUGAGGAAAAACAGUCAAAAGUGGGGGUUUUUACUGAUUUUGCAAGUUCAACAACUUAAUUCAAUUAACUAGCAAAUUAACAACUAGAAACUAAGAAAGCAAAGAGAAUGUUUUUAAUUCAAGAUUUAAAGAUUACUUUUGUUAGUUCUGAAUCCCCCCUUUUCCUUAUGGUUGAUGUAUAUUAGAUUACUUUUGUUGGUUACCAAAUUAUUAUAUAACUAGUUUAUAUGAUCAAAUUCCUAGUUUUUACCAAUUUAUUACUUACCAUGUAAUGAUUGUUUGGGCUACUUUUCUAUUGGUUCAAGGACCACCUUUGGUCCAAAUUCCUCCUAUUCUUCUUUAUAAAUAGUCAUAACAUGGUAAAUUGGGGUUGACUAUGUUUUACAUGAAAGUGUUUAUGGAAAUCUUUCUUGCACAAGCUUUGUUAAUUGCCUGACUUGUGAUUUGGAUACUCAAAAUGGAUGCUUGUUGAUAUAUAAAUGUUGCAUCAGUUGCAUCAUGUCUUUUCUUGCUAGCUUCCAUAAAUCUAAUCAAAAUUGACUAAAGAGCGGUUAUCUUUUCGGAUUGGACUUGCUCUUUUUGGUUGAGGUGAUGCUUUAGUUGUUGAUAAUCUAUCGUAUCUCCACUUGAAUAGCAUACUCGAACCCUCUUGUACUCCAAUUUACAAUCCCUUGUAAAAUGGGGUCCCUUACAAGCUUUGCAUCUAUCUUGUACCACAUUAAUUGAUUCACCCAUAUUUGUGAUCUUAUUUUCCAUGGCAUCGAGUUAAGCCAUUACCAACGUUAAGACUUUAGAAGCUCCAUCUCCAUUUACUUUUCUUCUUUUGAUAUCCUCUGUUGUGUUGUGAUACUCCCUUGAAUGCUUGGCGAAUUCUUCAGUUAAUGCUUUGUUGGUGGUCAAAUCCUUCUUUGUCAUGGUCCCUUAAGAAUCUAAAAUUUGGCGGGUACACACGUUAAUUCAAUCAUAGAAAAUUGAAAUUUCUUGUUGCACAUUGAUAUCAUGUUGAGGGAAAUUUCAUAACAAUCUCUUGUAGCGCUCCUAAGCAUCGUAUAACGACUCUCCUUCCAAUUGUUGGAAAUUUUAGAUAUUUCUCUUAAGUUUUGCUACUUUAGAAGCAGGGGUCAAUUAGUGAAAAAAUUCAGUCCUAAAAUCUGCCCAUGUAGUGAUUGCUCCAAAGGAAAGUGAUUUUAACCAUUCUUUAGCUUCACCCAUCUGUGACCGGUAAAAAUCGUAGCAUCACUGCAUCUAUACUCACGUUUGGAGCAAUAAAAUAAUUUGAAAUCUCCAUCACCCAUUGUAUGUGCUCGUAGGCAUCCUUCUGGUCCUUCCCAAAGAAUGGUAGACCUUUUAGCAUACUAAGAAUGUGUCCUGGGAGCUUAAACUUUGUCGUGGUUGGAAUUUUUUGUGGAACAAGACCCGACCCAUUAUCUUUCAUCAUAUGUCGAUUGUACUCUUCCACCAUCAUAGUCGUGAUGUCCCCUAUAUUUUCUACUAAUACAAAACUAGAAAAACACGUGUAAACCAAGCAAAAAACAAAGAAAUAAAAUUAAAACUGAAAAUUAACGGUACCCAUGUCGUCACCUGGGAGGUGCCACGUCGUGGGAGCUGUUGAAGCAGAAAACUAAAAAUACAAGAAAGUAACUUUUUGUGGGUUUUUCCCACAAAAAAGAUCGAUUAUCCUAAAGCAAUUAGAUUAAAAACUAAAAUCAGUUGUUCCCUGGAAACGACGCCAAAAACUUGAUGUGCACAAUUAUACCUACCAGUUUUAAAUUUAUAACCUAACGAACUUACUAACUAGAAUGCACCUAGGCAGUGUACCUAGUGUAUUUAUAGAAUAGUUUAGUUAUCUCGGGUGUCAAUCACAGUGAAUGUUAUUUAGCUAAUAAAAGAAUAACUAAAAAUUAAAUUAGGAAAAACACUCAAAAGUGGAGGGUUUUUACUGAUUUUGCUAGUUCAGCAACUUAAUUCAAUCAACUAGCAAAUUAACAACUAGAAACUAAGCAAGCAAAGAGAGCAAUUUUAAUUCAAGAUUUAAAGAGUACUUUCGUUAGUUCCGAAUCCCCCCUUUUUCCUAUGGUUGAUUUCUAGUGGAGUACUUAUGUUGGUUACCAAAUUAAUAUAUAACUAGUUUAUAACCCGUGAGAACCACGGUUAUAAAAUUAAUUAAUCUUUUAUAUUAAAAACUCAAAAUUAUUAAUCAAUUAUUUUAAAUAAAUUAUUACUUAAGUGAUAUUUUUUUAAUUAUAUAAAACAAUAAUUGUUGAUUUAAAUAAAUGCGUGAAGGUAUAUCACCUUAUAAUCUGUAUUAAUUUUAUUUUAUUUUUUAAUCUAAUGUUAUUAAUUUAAUAUAGUUAGAUUGCAAAAUUUAAAAUUUGAAAUUCGAAAAUGGAGAAUCAAUUAUUCAUUUAAUGUAAUUAGAUAGAAAUUUAAAAUUUGAGAUUUAAAAUCAAUAAUUAAUAGGUUGACAAGUGGUAUGAUAGGUACAUAUAAUAUUAAUGAUGAGUUCUAAUAGUAUGACACUUGUCAAUAGGAGAUUAAACAUAUUUAUUUAUUAGAAUAUGGACUUGUUAUAUGAUCAAAUUCCUAGUUUUUACCAAUUUAUGACUUACCAUGUAAUGAUCAAACACGAAAUUGAUAUAAAGAUAAAUUUGCUAUGCAUGGUAAAUCUAAGAGUUACUUUUCUAUGAUCAAGUCAAGCAACCAAGCACUAAUUAUGGAUCAAUUAUGCUCUCUAACACAGUUACAAUUACUAACUUUCAUCACCUAUCUCUAGCAUUCAAUGAUCAUAAAUAACUAGAUAACAAAUUAAUGCAAUAGAAUGAUCAUCUACCACACAUAACUUGAAGGAAAGACAAUAAUAAUUAGAACUUCAACAUGCAAGGAAUAAGAUUGAUCAAACACUAGAAACCAACAUAAAAAUGUCCAUAAAUUCGAAAUCAACACAUAUGUUAAGGGUUCAUCAUCUCCAACGAAAGUUUAAGGUGAUUAGCACAUAAUCAAAGCAAAAACAAACAAUAAAUAUGGUUUAACUUGAAAAUACAUGGUGAAAUGUGCCAACCGAGUAAUCUAAUGAUGAUCUUCCUUUAAAAAUCUCCAAAGUUUUAAUUCAAAACCAAAUCUCCAUUUCCAAGGUUUCUUUAGAGGAUAUUAGUGGCAGAUCUUGAUUUAAUUCUCCAGCAAACUCCCGAAAUCCGACCUAAAAGUUCAAAAUAAAUAAAUAAAUAAAUAAAUAAAUAAAUAAAUAAAUAUAUAUAUAUAUAUGCCAAAUUUAGCUUCCCACAGCGUGGCGACCAUUAAAAACGUGUGCGCCCCAUGUCUCGGAAGAUUUUGUGUAGGAAAGGUGGCCACGUCGUGGUAUCUCGAUUGCCAUGUUGUUGCAUAUAUUCUUUUGCACACCUCUUCUUUGUUAUUCUUUAUUGAAUGGUAACUUGGAUCUCCAUGUUUCCAUCAAUCUUCAAUUUUGGUCAUUUUCUUUGAGAUUAUCUAUUUUUGGUUGCAAAAUAGAAUUUAACUUAAUAAGUACCAAAUAUCUUUUCAAUUCACCAAAAUAUAGCUUAAAAUGUAUUAUAAUAAUGCCUAAAAUAUGUAUAAAUAUUACAAAAUCACCUUUCAACUCCCUUACAACCACUAUAACACUAAUCAUGUCACCAUCCCACUCUUGUCACCAUCCUCACAACCAGCAUGACCAAUUUGAAAUCUCCAAACUCAAUAAAGAAAUCAUUUGUUACUUUCACAAAAUAACUAAUCUAUAUAAUACCAAAUCAUAAUGCAUUCUCUUAACUUGUAUGAUUAUUCUAACAUUCAAAUAGAUAUUUUUGGAUAUAAAAGGUACAAAGCCGCAAACAUGACCAAGAAAAUCUUGGAGACAAACAUUACCAUUCAAACAUAACAGAUUCCAAACUUUACCAUUAUCAAUAUGGAUAUCAUAUUUCAGGAUACAUACGUUGCCAAGCACAUUCAAAGACAUUUUUUCGACACAAACACUACGAACCAAUAUAAAAAAACCUAAUCCUAAGAAAAAAAAAUUAGUUGUAUACCACUUCUUCGAAUAAACCGAUAUACAAUUGUCCCAUUCUUGGUGGAGCCUUAGCAUUUCUGGUGGGAACAUAAGCUGACCCUUGGAUACUAAAAAUACACUAAGAACAUUGUCCCUCUUUUCUCCAAAAUUCUUGUCUAGCUAGCCAACACCCAUCCAUGUGGUUUUCAUAUAUGAUAUCUCCCUUAUAAAAGCCACUCACCAUAAUUUCAAGAGGAAUCGGCCUAAUUGUCUCCACUGUGACAAUCUUCCUAAAGGGCCCGUUGUCUCCACCAUUUAGCAGAAUUUGAUAUAUAUUGAAUGAUGACCUCUUGAAUGGUUAAAAUAGCGAUGACAUUGACAAAGUAUUAAGAUUCUUCGAAGCCUAUUUUGUUGAUGGAUACAUCAACUAUAUUGUCUAUCUCAAAUGACAUGAUUUGAUUUUGACAACAUCAAUUUGAAUUUCAAUUCCAACAAGGGUAUGAUCGGUUAAAACAUAGGAGACUACGGUGGUGUGUUACCGACGAGAAGACGAAGUGAAUGGGUAGGGAAUCUGAUGCAUUAGGGUUUCUCUAACAACAAAGGUAAAUUGUUUUUUUCAAAGGGAUCUAAGGACUCUAACUAGAUGGAGUUAGGGUGAUGGACCAUGGUUGCAAGGAAAGCAAACCACAAGGACCAACUAUGUUAUAAAAUCAAUCGUAGGACCAACAUGAACUGAGGUAAACUAUAGGAACCAAAUAUGUAAUUUACUCUAUAUAUUCGUUGCUGAAGUUUUUAGUUUUACCUGUAGGCUUAUGUCUUACUGAGAUUUAACGUCAGAAAACAUAACAAAAUAGAAAAAGUAGUAUUUAUUACUUAACUUUACAAAUACUGAUCAUAAACCGAACAUAUAGAAAGAUGCAGCAAAUCCUUAAUAAAAUAGUUUCAUUACUAAACCUUAUAGAUUGUCCAGAAAAAGACACACACACGCACUACAUGUAUAGGUGUAACAUGAACUUCCUGCAGUGUUUAUUAGUAUGGAACCCAAACAACAUGAUCUUCGGGUAAGAAAUGGCAAACUGGAACACUUCCUGGUUUGACCUUGAGCACUUGAAACGCCAAAUGUUUUGGAUUCCACUUCGCAGUGUCUGUAUGGCAAACAGCCACAGCUUUAGCUUUCGUACCAUCAGCUCCCACCAAAGAAACAGAAUACGCUCGAGUGUUAACAGUUUUGUGGCAAUAAAAGACAGCAUAUGCGUAGUUUUGCUUGUGGCAAACCACAGCUUUAUCUGCUGCAAGUUUCUUGGCUCCUUCAAUCGUGUACUUUUGUAACGGAGUACUUUCUUUAGCGUUUACCUCUGUUGAUAUCGCUUUAACGUUUUUACCUAACUUGCUCGUACUAAAAUCGACCAUGGACUCUAACGAG
rnacentral:lncRNA from 1 species